GCGUCCGACAAGCCCCUAGGGGGAGAAAGGAGAAGGGUGAAGGCCGGGCUAGUAGUCGCUGCCCGCUGGGCAGCAUCUGGAGGCCCGUGCGGGAUGCAGGCGAGGGGGAUGGAGCGGCGCCGCUGGAGGAAAUUGGCUUCCCAUGGGACCUGCAACUGUCUGGAAACAAAAAAAGAAGCCUACCAAAAGGGGAAAUUUAAAGGAGAGCAAGAAACCAUGAAGAGAGAGCCGAAAACGCGAAAAUGCCGACAAGCCCAAAGGAAAGCGGAGUGUCCUGUGUGCCACAUGGAACUCGGGGAAAGGAAAUGAUUAAAGCCGUGAGGUUUCCUGGCUCUUCGUGGUGUUUACGGUGGGUUUUGAUUUGGGAAGAGAGCAGGAGAGGUUAUGGCCGGUUGCCAUCUGCCAGCGUCCUCAAUCUGCCUGGGCUACAGAUGACAUAGGGGCGGGUGGGCACGUGCGCUCUGUGUGCACAUUCCGAGUGUGUGCAGGAGCGUGUCUCGGAGUGUCUUGUGUGGUGGCCUACCUGGCAAUACAUGCAUGGUUAAAAAGAAGAGAUCUUCCAGCUUCAAGAGGAGGGGUUUCAGGUUCUUUCAGACAUCUGAGGGGCUGCAUCUUUCUAAAGUGCACACGUUUCUUUUUCAAACACUAUUUAAAAAUUUUUGUAAUGUUUCCAGUCUUUGCAUACUGUAAAUGGACAGGAAUAGGACAGAAACCCCAUCAUUAAACACUUACAUUGAUUUAAAUCAAAUUCCACUAAGUGAAAAUGCUUGUUGAAAUUUGGAAAAUAUUUUUUAAUGUAAUAAUGACAUUUGGACAUUGCAACUAUAGACAAUAAUCAUCAAAUCUGAAAUUAAGAUAAAUUUAAUAAAAGUGAUUUUUAAAUGCAUUGGAA
rnacentral:lncRNA from 1 species